rnacentral:rRNA from 1 species
GUGGUAAUGCCGGAUGCUCCAUCACACCGCAUGGUGUGUUGGGAAAGCCUUUGCGGCAUGGGAUGGGGUCGCGUCCUAUCAGCUUGAUGGCGGGGUAACGGCCCACCAUGGCUUCGACGGGUAGCCGGCCUGAGAGGGCGACCGGCCACAUUGGGACUGAGAUACGGCCCAGACUCCUACGGGAGGCAGCAGUGGGGAAUAUUGCACAAUGGGCGCAAGCCUGAUGCAGCGACGCCGCGUGAGGGAUGGAGGCCUUCGGGUUGUAAACCUCUUUUGUUAGGGAGCAAGGCAYUUUGUGUUGAGUGUACCUUUCGAAUAAGCACCGGCUAACUACGUGCCAGCAGCCGCGGUAAUACGUAGGGUGCAAGCGUUAUCCGGAAUUAUUGGGCGUAAAGGGCUCGUAGGCGGUUCGUCGCGUCCGGUGUGAAAGUCCAUCGCUUAACGGUGGAUCCGCGCCGGGUACGGGCGGGCUUGAGUGCGGUAGGGGAGACUGGAAUUCCCGGUGUAACGGUGGAAUGUGUAGAUAUCGGAAAGAACACC